rnacentral:rRNA from 1 species
UGGGGAAUAUUGCACAAUGGGGGAAACCCUGAUGCAGCGACGCCGCGUGAGCGAAGAAGUAUUUCGGUAUGUAAAGCUCUAUCAGCAGGGAAGAAAAUGACGGUACCUGACUAAGAAGCCCCGGCUAACUACGUGCCAGCAGCCGCGGUAAUACGUAGGGGGCAAGCGUUAUCCGGAUUUACUGGGUGUAAAGGGAGCGUAGACGGAUGUGCAAGUCUGAAGUGAAAGGCAGGGGCUCAACCCCUGGACUGCAUUGGAAACUGUUGAUCUUGAGUACCGGAGGGUAAGCGGAAUUCCUAGUGUAGCGGUGAAAUGCGUAGAUAUUAGGAGGAACACCAGUGGCGAAGGCGGCUUACUGGACGAUUACUGACGCUGAGGCUCGAAAGCGUGGGGAGCAAACAGGAUUAGAUACCC